rnacentral:rRNA from 1 species
GACGAACGCUGGCGGCGUGCUUAACACAUGCAAGUCGAACGGAAAGGCCCUGCUUGCAGGGUACUCGAGUGGCGAACGGGUGAGUAACACGUGGGUGAUCUGCCCUGCACUUCGGGAUAAGCCUGGGAAACUGGGUCUAAUACCGGAUAGGAGCCAUUUUUAGUGUGAUGGUUGGAAAGUUUUUUCGGUGUAGGAUGAGCUCGCGGCCUAUCAGCUUGUUGGUGGGGUAAUGGCCUACCAAGGCGGCGACGGGUAGCCGGCCUGAGAGGGUGGACGGCCACAUUGGGACUGAGAGACGGCCCAGACGCCUACGGGAGGCAGCAGUGGGGAAUAUUGCACAAUGGGCGCAAGCCGGAUGCAGCGACGCCGCGUGGGGGAUGACGGCCUUCGGGUUGUAAACUCCUUUCGCUAGGGACGAAGCUUUUUGUGACGGUACCUAGAGAAGAAGCACCGGCUAACUACGUG